AACACAGGGGUCUGUACAAGGACGUGAUGAUGGAGAAUCACCGGCCCCUCACAUCACUGGAUGGGCUCAGUAACAGAGAUACCCCAGAGAGAUGUCCCCGUGCUCUGUAUUCCCAGGAUUGUACAGAGGAGAAUCACAGGACCCCACAGGAGGAUCGGGUAGAACGUCUGUCUAAUAUUAAAACAGAAGAUAUAGAGGAA